UCAAUGAAUUACUCAUAUUUUUGUCUGUUAUUUAUAUAUUUGUAUACCAUUGGUUCUUAUAUAGUAAACACUAUCUAUAUGCUGUUUGUUUCCUUCUUACUUUUGGAACUUAGCCCCCUUUGUUUAUUAUGUAUAGGGCUGUAGUGGGGCUGAGCCAUAAACCUUUAUCUUUUGAUCAUACUUAUGAAUGAAUGUCUUCUCCCUUACACCCCCCCCCCAAAAAAAAACAACAUGGUAGAAUGGAUCACCUCCUAUAUUGCGAGGUACUCUGGAGAGGUACUGUAAAUAGACAUGAGGACGGUUCUCACUCUAUUUUGUGAUAUUUUGUAUUCUGACACUUUUAGGUAUGUUCAUAUUAGAUUUUUAUGAAUAACCUGUCUUAUCAA
rnacentral:lncRNA from 1 species